CAGCCGCCGCGGGAAUACGUAGGUGGCAAGCGUUGUCCGGAAUUAUUGGGCGUAAAGGGCUCGCAGGCGGUUUCUUAAGUCUGAUGUGAGAGCCCCCGGCUCAACCGGGGAGGGUCAUUGGAAACUGGGAAACUUGAGUGCAGAAGAGGAGAGUGGAAUUCCACGUGUAGCGGUGAAAUGCGUAGAGAUGUGGAGGAACACCAGUGGCGAAGGCGACUCUCUGGUCUGUAACUGACGCUGAGGAGCGAAAGCGUGGGGAGCGGACAGGAUUAGAGACCCCUGUAGUCCCUGUCUCUUAUAC
rnacentral:rRNA from 1 species